rnacentral:ncRNA from 1 species
UGUGUGUGUUCGCAAGAAUGAAACUCAAAGGAAUUGAUGGGGGCCCGCACAAGCGGUGGAGCAUGUGGUUUAAUUUGAUGCAAAGCGAAGAACCUUACCAGGGCUUGACAUGCCUCGAAUCCUCUUGAAAGAGAGGGGUGCCUUCAGGAAGGCGGACACAAGUGGUGCAUGGCUGUCGUUAGCUCGUGUCGUAAGGUGUUGGGUUAAGUCCCGUAAUGAGCGCAACCCUCGUGUUUAGUUGCCACCGUUGAGUUUGGAACCUUGAGCAGACUACCAGUGAUAAGUCAGAGGGAGGUGAGGAUGACGUCAAGUCAUCAUGCCCCUUAUACCCUGGGCGACACACAUGCUACAAUGGACGGUACAAAGGGUCGCGAUCUUGCGAGGGUGAGCUAAAUCUAAAAACCCAUCCUCAGUUUGGAUUGCAAGCUGCAACUCGCCUGCAUGAAGCCAGAAUCGCUAGUAAUCGCUGGUCAGCCAUACGGCGGAGAAUUCAUUCCUGGGCCUUGUACACACCGCCCGUCGCACUAUGGGAGUUGGCCAUGCCUGAAGUCGUUACCUUAACCGCAAGGAGGGGGAUGCUGAAGGCAGGGAUAGUGACUGGAGUGAAGUCGUAACAAGGUAGCCGUACUAGAAGGUGUGGCG